ensembl:lncRNA
GUCAGCGGUGCGGGGGGCGCUGAGGCGGCCGUUCCGGCCCUUACCGGGCGGGCGGCGCCGAGGGGCGGCGGCGGGGAGCGGGCGGUAAGCCGGGCAGGGCCGGGUCGGCGGCGCUGGGCCGCGGGCGCCGCGGGGCCGGGGGGCGAGGGAAGCGCCGCGAGCGGAGGGGCCCGGUGGCGGGGGCCGAGGCGGGGAGGAGCCGGCGGCUCCCGGGGACGGCUCUGGUGAGGGACGGGGCGGAGCGGCCGCACCUGGGCGCCGGUACGGAGAGCGCUGCUCCGAGCCCUCCGCCAAACUUGGGGAGCGGGAGUUCGGGCAGCGCGCCGAGCUGCGCGAGGGGUCGGUACAAAGAGCGGCCCGAGGGGCUGCUGGCUGCCGCCGGUUGGUCGCCGUGCUGUAAAACUUGUUAGAGGAAAGCAUGGUGGCUGAGCGCUGUUUGACCUCGGUCCGGGGGCCGUGGGCUGGGUGUCCGCGUGUCUGGGAGCGGAGCUGUUUCAUGGAGGCCCAGCGCCUUCAGAGUUCUGUUCUGGGGCGAGGGCUGCGGGCUGUGCUCACCACACGUGAGAAGAAAAGCUGAAGUUGCCGUAUUUAGCGCUCCUAAGGUGAUUACCAGCAUUCCCAAUUAAAGCACCCGAGGCUGUGUCCCGUGUGACGGGCGCUGGGUAGGCUUCCUGUGCUGUUACUGCAGUUUUCACAGCACUCGUUCUUCUCAGCGUUAAAUGUAUCCCGUCAGUUUUUACUCUGUGCCCCCGGCUCGCUGUUUGCAGGGGGACGUGGUGUGGAGCCGUGUGUACACAAAGCUGCCUUUGCUUGUAACGUAACUGUCCUAUCCGUGACUCGGGCUUAAAGCAGGUUUUGUUUUGGUGGGAAAGAGCUGCUCUCACCAUUGCCUACAGAAAUAACGUGCGGGUCGUCGUAACGUGUCACACCUUGGCAGUUUAUGAGGUAAUUCUAUUAGGGAAUUUAACUUUACCAAUUAAGUACUCCGGGACUUUUUCAUUUGAAGUAAGUUCUGUACGACUGCCACAAUUGAAUGUAGUGUGCAGUACUGUUUCUCCAUCUCUGCAGCAGCAGCAGAAUGCACGAUAACUUCCCUGGUGUGUCACCUCCAGUCUUCCUCAGCUCUGCCCCAAAGGAAACACCUUUCAGAAGCAAUCCAGAAUUCCUGUUUGCUUGCCAUAAAAGGCUGAGACAAAGGAUGGAGCUAUUGGGUACUUCAUCACUGGUUUGAUGUGAAAGUAGUUGAGCCGCUCAUGAAGAACAAAAUCCUUGAAUUACACACCAACAUAAUCAGUGGUAACACACGCGUUGCCCCUUGGGAUAUUGAUGAGGUAGAUACUUUUCUAGUGCCACCAGCUCUCAAGUGAGAUCUUGCUGAGAAGUUGUCUUCUCUUUAUGUGUGCUACCUUUUGGCAGUCUUAACUGAGCUGUAUGUAGGGGAACAAAGACAUCUGGGAGUCAGUGAUGGAAGGGAACAGGAUCAUCGUCUUCGUAGGUCCUAAUUUAACUAAUGUAAUGAAGUGUUUCUGAGCCAAGUUGAAGUUAGUAUAAAGGUUUGUCUAGUGUAAAAUCUGCCUGUAAGAUAGGAAGGGAAGUUGUGGCUGUAGUUACCUGAUCAUAAUCUCUGUUGGAAUAGCCAGCAUGUGAGUACUAAUUGUAGUGCUGGUUUCUCUCAAGUGCACUGAGAUCGCUAGCUUCUUUCUCACAGGGCACUGAAUGAUCAUUAAAUGCUAAUGACUUUUGAUUACUGUUGACCUCGGUCAAUUUAGAGUUAGUGACCUAGAGAUGAAAACCACUGUAUCUCAUUACCAAUUUCCUGAGCUAUCUGAUCUUUCCUUUGUAGGUCAGUUUUGAUAAGAGCAGAAUAGAAUUAAAGUUGACCCCUGUCUUAGAAAAGGGGUUGAACGCUUUCAGGUUGGCAAUAUCAUGCUUCGAAACAGCAACAACAACAGAAGGAAGCAGCUACUAGGAAAGAACUUAUCUUUCUGACCCCAUGGAUUGUCAAGAGCAAAACUUAUCAGUUCUAGUAGAAAAACAGCCUAUCACCUGUAACCUUGAGUUUCUCAUUUUGUAGCUGCAGGUUUUCUCAUCUCAAGCGUCCAUUUAUAAUUCUUGUUCUUACUUUGAGCUAUGAAGCAGCAAAUGAGUGUUCGUAGGAUAAAUUGCCAACUCUGCUCUGGGAUGUUUUCUACCUGCAAUUGCCAAACUAUGUGCAGGAUGAUAAAACCACGUAUUUCAUGUUGUGAUGAAGCAUUUCACUUAAUUUCUUUCCAUAUGUGCAGAAGAGAAUGUGUGAUAAUUCACUGUUAUUGUUCGCUGUAGGCUCUUUAAGUGUAAGGUUUUUUUAUACAGUUGUGGUUUCUAUAGAGUGCCAUUCAUACAGCAAACAUGGCAGUGAAUUCAUAAUGAAAAUGCGUGAUAGAUUUAAAUAUUCUUCCUCACUUUAAUAAGCAAGCUCUGUUUAUUUUUUCUCAAGCUGAAAACAAAACUUUUAACUUGAAAAGCAAAACUCCACGGUGUAAAAAAGACCUUUUAGAGUUAUGUUAGUAUGUUUGGGAAAGAAAUAUUCGGUUAUUGAACCUCUUACUGUGGUUAAAUCACAGAGGUGAAGCAGCUAAGGAAGAACUUAACAGGAGGAGAUGUUGCACUCGGUUUGGACCAAGCCUAAAUCGGUGAGCAUGCAAGGCAGGAGGAUGUUUAUGAUGAAAUAAAUAUAGGGAUAAAUGUUAUUCUUAAAUACUGUGUUUUGAUUUGAUUGCUUUGUCUCAGAGAAGGAUAUUGCUGUAAAAAUCAAAAGAGGGCAGUGAAAAUGCCUGCAGAUACAAAAAAAGGCACAUUAAAAAGAUGAAGGCUGUCUGGGUAGGGAGGCCAGCAAGAAGUGUUGCACAGAGAUGUGGCCCAUAUUCUAGCAAAUAAUACAAGGAUGUGAAAAUAAAAGGCAGUUUUAUUCUCUAUUCUUCUAUUUUAUACAAACUUGUAUUUAACUGCUGACUGGGCUGCUCAGAACUCCCUGCGUUUGUUUCCUUUAAAGCACUAAGAGCAUUCAUGGGGAAAAUGAAGUAAAAAUAACUUUGUGGAUAGAAGUAUUCUGAGGCUUUUUAUCUUCAUACUUUAGAGCACAAGAUUAUCACUAAGCAAAGUUGGGAAGAAUAUUUGUAAACAAGCAUUUUGCUGGCACACAAGCUAUAGCAAAAUACAAUUUGGCUUCUGGUGUUGGUUCGAGAUGCAGUUUUAUAUUGAUGCUGUUCUGAGAAAGUAAAAAUAAAAAUAAAAAAAAUAGAGAGUAUUUUUAUGUGUUCAUACUUUGAUAGCCAUCGCAGUGUCACCCAUCUUUGUCCCUGCUUUUAGCCUUCUGUUUGGUUUUUUAAAAGGAGCCCUCACUGAGUGAGACUUGGGGACCAACUUUUUGAUGCAACAGACAGGGACGGUUACAGUCCUGGUUUGUUUCAGAGCUGCCUAUCAGAAACCUGCGUGAGCAAGGGUGGUGGAGGAUUUAGUCAGUCCUAACGUGCUUUCUUACUGGAGGAACUCAGGAAUAGAGCUGUCAGUCCCCUUUCCAAGUGAGUGUUUUUACAAACAGGAAGGUUGGGAUGGGGUGGUUUCUUCCAAGUGACUAAAUAACUCAUAAAUAGUUAAACAGCAUUAAGCUCCUCUGCUGUGUGGGUUGGGUUUCUUGGUUCUAUUGUUUGUUUUUUUGCUCUUUGAACUUGUACACAUCGCUUUUUAAUUAGUGUUAGAGCGAGAUUAAAUUCCACGAGAAGGAACAGCACACAGGUAGAUCUGUUAAAUACUAAGCGUAUAUUUAUUUUGGUUAAUAGAGAUGUACCGCCUGAAACUUAUUUCAUUGGGGAAUCCAGAAUUUAAACAAAGAAUUUUAAUAAUGCAUAGGCAUACUAACAGCCAGGGAAAGUACUUGGCGACUUUACAAGGAAAGAAAUAUAUGCAUUUUCCCUUUGCCUACUUGGAAUUGAUUCCUCAGUUCAGAAUCUGGUUGCAGCAGCCCGCUGGGAAUCGUGAUGAAGUCUUGAUUUUUAGGGAAAUUGUCCACUUCAUGUUUCCACAUGAAGAGCAGAGCUCUAAAUGCAAGAUAGAGGAAAAGCACAACCUAUUAGAAGACAAAAAAAAUGGAAAAUGUGAGGUAUACUUGCUAUUGCA